rnacentral:rRNA from 1 species
GUGAACGAUGAAGGGCCGUGCGUCGUAAAGCUCUACUGUACGGGACGAAGUUUGACGGUACCGAUCGAAUCAGCCUCGUGCUAACCUCUGUGCCAGCUAGGCCGCGCGUCAAGACACGCAGGGAUGACAAAGCCGUAUACUCCUGGGAAAUGCAGUUUGGGGUUGUUCAAAACGGCUGUUUUCCGAUAAGCGAUGUGACGUACCCUCCAAACGGUCAUGCCAAUGAAUCNAANGAGUCNCACUACGACAGGCAUACGAAACCGCCUUUGUGGAACUCCGUGUCUAUCCGUAAGCAUAGAGCGUUCCGUGGGAACGGCCUUUCAAGGGUUGAGUAGAGCUCAAGAGGGAGCUUACGAACGCGUGUACACUCUGCGCACUGUGUUGGGUGAUGCCUAUGGUAGGAAAUAUUAGUCCGAUUAAGAAAGGCGUACUGCGUGUACAAGCACAUCAAGCACCAAACCUUGUGCCUGAACAAGUGUCAAACAUACAUUAGCAUAGAGUGACUCUAAUUGAAUCCUAGGACCCAUCCUAGAAAGGCGCUUGGGAGUACCCGAAUAGACGCCUUUAAAAGCGUGCAGGGCUGCAUAAAAGCGAGAAUUUUAACGAAUUAUCCCACCCAUUGGAUUACGAUGCCUCUUAAGGGCCCGGUCAUAAAUCCGUCCUAGAGCAAAAACUUUAAGAGCACAUNUAUAGCGNGAUACCAAACGGCACGGUUUCGUGGAAGCACGGGUAACAUCCCGGAUAAGCCCAAAACAGAGGGGGUUACCGAAUAAGGCCUUUAAAACCGGCCUGGAUUUGAGAAAGAUUUGUGCGCUUUUGGACCCAUUGUAGGGGUAAGAGGGUUCACUAUGGCUGUUCCUGGACCUANAAAGGCAAGGUUUGGAAAACAACCCCUUCCGAAAACAACGGGGGACAANCUUUUUGGAAACCUGGCGAAGCGACGUGCCCCCCUGGACAUAUCCGAGAAAGGACCUGCGGUUCGGAGCAACGACCNAACUUCGAUCUGGCGGUCAUAUUUAAACACGU